UGAAUGCAGAGUGCGUCUGCUGCAGACAUGAGAGGAUCGUGAUAAGUGUGUUCCGUACGAGUGACUCUGUUUUCGGGAUAAAUAACUUGCUGAAGUCGACACGACACUGUUUCCCGAGAAGAUGAGUGCUUGGGAAAGCAAAGCCGCGGGCCCGGUUUGGAGGAGUCGAGGCAGAGAAGACAGGCGCACAGUCCCUGAAUUAAGGAAGUUUCCGUCUCUUCACAGCUCUGAUGAAAUGGCCGGCGGAGUGAGGCCAGAUUCCUGCACACAAUGACGCAGUCACUGCACAUUACACAGAGACUCGCUGAUAGUCCGCAUUUGCAGUGCGGGAAAACGACGCCAUUGUACCUGCCUGUACUAUGAGCCAGUAUGAAGGAACUUCCAGUUCAUCCAUACGGACCUUGCAUCAGCACAGAAGAAAGAGGCUGAUUGAAGCGGGACAGAUGACAUGGAUCCAUCCUUCCAAAGCCAGGAGCUCACCGACCUGUGUGCAACACUUCAAAUAAGACUAGAAGCUACAUUGGAACCCACAGCUACACACCACAGACGUCUACACACUGGGGCAGAUUCGGACAGAGUCCCACAAAGAACAUAUGACCCAGAGGCUGCAAAGAGACAUUUCAAGCUUCACCUGAUUAGUUUUUCACUGGCUAGGCUAGUUGUAUUUGUGCUGUAUGUAAAUAAAGCUUUGACUCAACA